GACAAACUCAGUGUGCUUCG
rnacentral:siRNA from 1 species